rnacentral:rRNA from 3 species
CAGGACCGUGAAACGACUCUACGCCGAUGAUAGUGCGGAUUCCCGUGUGAAAGUAGGUAAUCGUCAGGC